UAGGGAAUAUUGCACAAUGGGCGAAAGCCUGAUGCAGCAACACCGCGUGUGCGAAGAAGGCCUUCGGGUCGUAAAGCACUUUUCUGAGGGAUGAGCAAGGACAGUACCUCAGGAAUAAGUCUCGGCUAACUACGUGCCAGCAGCCGCGGUAAAACGUAGGAGGCAAGCGUUAUCCGGAUUCACUGGGCGUAAAGCGCGUGCAGGCGGUUCGGUAAGUUGGGCGUGAAAUCUCCUGGCUCAACUGGGAGAGGUCGUUCAAUACUACCGGGCUAGAGAGUGGUAGAGGAAGAUGGAAUUCCCGGUGUAGUGGUGAAAUGCGUAGAUAUCGGGAGGAACACCAGUGGCGAAGGCGAUCUUCUGGACCAUUUCUGACGCUCAGACGCGACAGCUAGGGUAGCAAACGGG
rnacentral:rRNA from 1 species